rnacentral:rRNA from 1 species
UACCAGCACCCCGAGUGGUCGGGACGAUUAUUGGGCCUAAAGCAUCCGUAGCCGGUUUUACAAGUCCCCCGUUAAAUCCAACUGCUUAACAGGUGGGCUGCGGAAGAUACUAUAGAGCUAGGAGGCGGGAGAGGCAAGCGGUACUCGAUGGGUAGGGGUAAAAUCCGUUGAUCCAUUGAAGACCACCAGUGGCGAAGGCGGCUUGCCAGAACGCGCUCGACGGUGAGGGAUGAAAGCUGGGGGAACAAACCGG